GAUUUCUGUAUGCUGCAGAGAAACAUCCUGCUCCAAGCUGUCAGACCCAAUCAUCCCUCACAGAACAGUUUGAGACGCACUGAAUCUGGUAAAACGCAGCAGGAUAGCGUGCCAUGUCAUAAAUUGUGAAUCAUCUCAGGACUGGUUUCUUGAACAUGACACUCAAAUGACUGUACUCAAAUGGCCUUCACAGUCACCAGAUCCAACAGAGCACCUUUGGGAUGUGGUGGAAUGGGAGAUUCGCAUCAUGGAGCCGACAGAAGAUCCCAACUGCAGAAAUAGUCAACAGAGAUCAACACUAGCAGAGAUCCUGGAGGACCUGAAGGAGACCAUUAUUGAGAGACUCACAGCGCUUACAUUCACCACUGAACAAUUAUACUGGGAUGAAGACCACUGAGAAGAGUUGAAGAUGAGGACAGGAACAGACAGGGAACCAGGAACAAGGAGGAUAAGAACCGGGGACCAGAUGGAGACCAGGUGGGGAACCAGAGGGAAUCCACACUAGGAAUGCGACGCAGACACGAGAGAUCAUAAAGAACAUGAAGAGAAGAUCACAACUGCAGAAGUAAUGAACAGAGAUCCAGCAGCAGCAGAAGAGAUUAACACUAGCAGAGAUCCAGAGUCUGAAGGAGACCGUUAUUAAUGAGAGACUCACAGCGCUCCCAUUCACCACUGAACACACCACUGAACAAUAGUGCACUGAUGAAGAUGCUGAACAGUCUCUGAUGAGGACAGGAACAGGCAGACG